UCGGACAAACAUUAACACACAAUACAGUUCUACAUAUAACACAGACCAGAAUGCUAGCUAGUUUUCCAGGGGUAGCUCAGAACCACUGCCAGGAGCUACUCAAAACCAGAUUGCCAGGAGCAGCUCACAACCAGUCCCAAGAAUUGCCCAGAACCAGAAGCAACUUCACGAGUGAACCUUUUAUCCUGCCUCUAAUUACCUUGGGGGGUUCAGGCCCAAGGUUCAGGUCUCAGCCCAGCAGGAUUCCCCAGAAUACAAGCCUAACUUACAUUCCAGGAAAUCAACCAGAGAGAUGAGAACAAUGAUUGCUCAGCGACUUGAGAUGACUGUCCAAUUUUGAAAUUGCAAAGGACUUGAUACUUUUCCAGAUAGAGACUGUGCCUAAGACUCAUUUCCUGACUGCCGUCUUCUUGAUCAGAUGGGGCCAGAGCCUCUGACUGCGUUACUCCUACUGACGAUUGAGCACCUCUAUUCCCCGCCGCAAGGGGCACGAACUCCCAGGUCAGAGACUUCCUGGCAAUGAGGGAAAUAUCAAUACAUUGAACAGUUGUUCUGUGAUGCUUUCUGCUGAAAGAUCUUGAUCAAAAGGGGAAAUGUGGACAGAGAUAACAAAAUGGAGUAACAUUAUCAAGACUUCUAAAAUGGAGCUGGGAGGCCAUUAAAGAAAUGGGGCUCAUGCACGCACACCACGUCUCUACCCAGAGGGAAUGUAGCUUUUGAACUGUGCUCCUCUGUUGUCAUCUGGACCCUCUCUCAAGAAAUACGCUUACUCUCAUAGAAAAGAACUUUCUGCCUUAGAGAUGGCCUUAGCAACCAAUCACUUAUAGCCUAAAAUUAACCUUUGUUUCCAGCACCAAUCACAAACCUCGCAAAACGACCUGUGUAAUUUAUUUCUUCUUGCCUUUAUAAACCCUUGCCUCCCUGUCCUCCUCAGAACACAUUUUGGGUUUCUGCCUGAAUCUGUGUCUUGUGAGUUGCAAUUCUAAUUGCCCAAGCAAAUAUCUGCUAUAUGAA